GCCACAGAGCCAGAGAGAGCCAGAGCCACAGAGCCAGGGACAGCCAGAGAGAGCCAGAGCCACAGAGCCAGGGACAGCCAGAACCAGAGAGCCAGUGACCCAGAACCAUAGUCCCAGAACCACAGAGCCAGGGACAGCCAGAACCACAGGCCCAGUGACCCAGAACCACAGGCCCAGUGACCCAGAACCACAGAGCCAGUGACCCAGAACCACAGGCCCAGUGACCCAGAGCCACAGACCCAGUGGCAGCCAGCAGGAAGGGAUGGAGAAGGGGCUUCCUUUCCGAACCGCCAGGAGCAGCCGAUCCCGGUGCCCCUGUGGACAGCAGAAGGAGCUGCAGCAGAAGCACAGCCAGCCGGGCGGGCAGGGGCGAGCAAAAUCCCGGAGCGGCGGAUGGGAUGUGCGAGAAACGCGGCAGCUGCAGCCGGAGCCAGUGAGCGUUGUUUCCCACAAAUGGGAGCUCUCCCCGGGAUUUACACCUUGCUCUGGUGGCCUUAGGAGUUUUUGAAAAGAGGCGUGCCCCACCACAAAUUUGUCCGAGUCUAUCGGACACUCCCAGGACCGCCGGCAGUCGCAGGCUGACAGCCCGAGGACACCAGGAGACUGGAUAAAGAGAAGAAGGGCAGAGAGGACAGGAGGGCAGAGCCACCGAGGCUGAGCUGAGCAGAGUGCAAUCAUGGGACAGAAGCCCCCAGCAUCGCAGGUGUUUUCGGAAGAGAGGUAAAGUUUUUUUUUCUUUUUUUCCUUUUCUUUCUCUCUUCCCUCUCCUUCUCUUUCCUCCUUUCCUGGUUUCUUUGUUCUCCUCCUUUCCCUCUCCCUUCUUAGGGAGGCGGGCCUGGCUGGGACGGUGUGUACUUGGCUGACUGGGGAGGUGGGCUCUGUCGGGAGGGCCUGUGCUUGGAAAGGUGGGCUCUGUCAGGAGGACCUGUGCUUGGAAAGGUGGGCUCUGUCAGGAGGGCCUGUGCUUGGAAAGGUGGGCUCUGUCAGGAGGACCUGUGCUUGGAAAGGUGGGCUCUGUCAGGAGGGCCUGUGCUUGGAAAGGUGGGCUCUGUCAGGAGGGCCUGUGCUUGGAAAGGUGGGCUCUGUCAGGAGGACCUGUGCUUGGAAAGGUGGGCUCUGUCGGGAGGACCUGUGCUUGGAAAGGCGGGCUCUGUUGGGGCAGACCCGUGAUCUGCUGUCAGGAUGGGAUCAUGGGUGAGCAGCGAAUCCCCAAAGGAAGAAGCAGAGAUUGAGGAGGAACCAAUGGGCAUAGCCCCAGAUAGUCCACUGGGAAGGAAGCUUGCCCGGUGGAAAUAUGACCCCAACACCAGAGAUAAGGAUGAGCUUAACCAUUCAGUACUGCAUGGUAGAAUGGACCAGAAGGGAAAUUAGCAGUGAUCAUGUACAGUGGCUGAGAUAUGGAUCCGAUGAGGCAUUGAUGUGUUGAGCAUUAAACAUCCAUGAAAGAGCUAAGAAACCAUUCAAUCAAGAAGAGAGUGGCUAUGCUGCCUGCUGAGAGAGAUUUCACCCUUGAAAGUGAGCAUGUUUAAGGCAUCAGAAAAUACAGAAUGGGACCUGUUACAGCACUUAGCCCCUCCACCUCCAGUAGCCCCAACAGCACCUCCCCUGCCCUCUGACGGGCCUAGCCAAAACAUCAGAAACAGGGUGGC